UACGGGGGGGGCAAGCGUUGUUCGGAAUUACUGGGCGUAAAGCGCGCGUAGGCGGCUUUUCAAGUCGAGUGUGAAAGCCCCAGGCUUAACCUGGGAAUUGCGCUCGAUACUGUUGAGCUAGAGUGUGGAAGGGGCUACUGGAAUUCCGUGUGUAGCGGUGAAAUGCGUAGAUAUACGGAGGAACACCGGUGGCGAAGGCGGCGUUCUGGACUGCAACUGACACUGAUAAACGAAAGCCAGGGUAGCAAACGGG
rnacentral:rRNA from 1 species